GACGAACGCUUGCGGCGUGCCUAAGAAAUGCAAGUCGAGCGAGAUUUUACGCUGAUUGAAGCUUCGGCAGAGAUCUUGUAAAGUUUAGCGGCGAACGGUCGCGUAACACGUAAGCAACCUGCCCCGAAGUGUGGGAUAGCCCUCCGAAAGGAGGAGUAAUACCGCAUGUGGACAUUUUUUCGCAUGAGAAGAUGUCUAAAGCAGCAAUGCGCUUCGGGAUGGGCUUGCGGCCUAUCAGCUAGUUGGUGGGGUAAAGGCCUACCAAGGCGACGACGGGUAGCUGGUCUGAGAGGACGAUCAGCCGGAUUGGGACUGAGAUACGGCCCAGACUCCUACGGGGGGCAGCAAUUAGGAAUCUUGCACAAUGGGGAAACCCUGAUGCAGCGACGCCGCGUGAAUGAUGAAGUCUUUCGGGAUGUAAAGUUCUGUCCUACAGGGAAGAAGAAUGUGACGGUACCUGUAGAGAAAGCCCCGGCUAACUACGUGCCAGCAGCCGC
rnacentral:rRNA from 1 species